rnacentral:rRNA from 1 species
AUUGAACGCUGGCGGCAUGCCUUACACAUGCAAGUCGAACGGCAGCACGGGUGCUUGCCCCUGGUGGCGAGUGGCGCACGGGUGAGAAAUACAUCGGAACAAGUCCUUUAGUGGGGGGUAGCCCGGCGAAAGACGGAUAAAUACCGCAUCCGAUCUACGGCAGAAGGCGGGGGCCCUACGGGCCUCGCGCUUUAGGGUCGGCCCUUGACUGAUUAGCUAGUUGGUGGGGUAAAGGCCUACCAAGGCGACGAUCAGUAGCUGGUCUGAGAGGACGACCAGCCACACUGGGACUGAGACACGGCCCAGACUCCUACGGGAGGCAGCAGUGGGGAAUUUUGGACAAUGGGCGAAAGCCUGAUCCAGCAAUGCCGCGUGUGUGAAGAAGGCCUUCGGGUUGUAAAGCACUUUUGUCCGGAAAGAAAUCCUUGGCCCUAAUACGGUCGGGGGAUGACGGUACCGGAAGAAUAAGCACCGGCUAACUACGUG